ensembl:lncRNA
CUUGGUGUUGCUAGCAUAGAUUUGUAAAUAUAAUAUACACAUAUAUUUUAUGCUCAUAAAGAGAGAAAUGGCAUGCUAUUUUGAUUCAUGUGUUUUAUAUGUGAAGUUUAUAUUUGGUUAUUAUGAUUUAGUUUACUUUAGCCCCAAAUUAAUAUUGUCAUUAUUUACUCACCCUUAUGUCAGAUAGUAGCAAAAAGUAAAAUUUCAGUUUGCUCUUCACAAAAAGCUCCAAGACUUAAAUAAGCAGAAUUAAAUAAGAAAUACAGUGCAUGAGACAUACUACAUUUAAAGUGUUUUUAUGCUCAGCAGAUCCUGCAAAAAUAUCUUCUUUCAACAAAGAACAUAAUGGCACAUGCAUUUGGAAGAACGAGAGGAUCCAUUGGCUGGGAUCUCUACGGCGGAAUGCUGCUGGGACCCCCUUCUAACCUCCCCCCAACCCUCCCCUUGAGUGCACCCACCCAUUAGGAAUUCCAGCAGGGCAUUGUGGGUGGGAUGAAUGGGGUCAGAGCCAAGGAAUGAAGCUACGGUGAAUCCAAAGUGCCAUGCCGAGAAAUCAGGUGGACAGUGGCUAAUGAGAAUCACUGGUCACGUGAUCCGCAGGGAUGGCCCAUACUGCACCGGAGACACCCAGGCAGGUGUUAGGAGUCACGUUGCUAUGGAAACUGAGAGAUGACACCUCCAGAGUUCUGUCAGUGCAGGAUUAGCCUCAUGCGGGCGCUAACAAACCAACAGCAUCUCGACACAAAUUAGACUGGAAUGAUCCAGCCCCCUCUGACGCCAGCAAAGGAGAAGAACAUGCACAUGUUUACAUUCCAGGCGUUUGAUUACGUCUUAUCAGUACAAGAUAACACUGAAGUUCAUGGUAUAGUUGCAGCAGGGCUGCCUUGUAGAAAUUUAAAAAUAUAGUAGGGCUGUCAGUUUAACACAUUUAUUUAUAAUUAAUUAUUUAUGGAAAAAUAAUGCAAUUAAAAUAUUUUGACGCAAUUAACGGACCUGCCCCACCCCAAAACUGCAAGUCAUCUUACAUUCCAUUCAGUUGACUGUUGACAAACAUGAUGCAGGGCAACAACUAUUUAGUCCAUAAAUGUAGUUAUGUGCCCCUGAAAUUCAAGGUAUUGAAAAAAUGCCGCUGUACGAGUUCUUGUCUCAUAUUUAUAUCGAUCACAUG